GAGGGUAUAGCUCAGUGGUAGAGAGCAUGACUAUCAUGCACAAGGUCCUGGGUACAAUCCCCAGUACCUCCA
rnacentral:tRNA from 1 species